UAUAAAUAUGCAUCUUUACAGGGCUGUAACUGCCAUUAAUAGUGUUUUUGAAUGCAAAAUUCUUAAACUUUGACAGGUGGUGUCCCUGAUUUUGAAUAUCUGUUCAUAUACAUGUAUCUGUAUGAGUGUGUGAGUGUGUAUUCCUCUCUUAGGGUUUAAAAAGCAGGGAUCUGAGGGUUGCAGUUGAACGUGGUCACAGUCUGCGUCUUCCAUGCGUUCCCGAAUCCCUCUUAUAUCCUUCUACGCGUGUCUCCACCAGCCCGCCCACUAGACCACGCCCCCAUGCUUGAGGCGGACCGUCUGAUUGGCCAGAUCCUGGAACCUCAGUCAGGAGGGUAUUGGCGUCCAGCAUGCGUUCAGGAGCACUGAGAGACGUCAACACAGUGAUCUCCAUCCAGCACUUUACCAGCUGACACAUACAUUUCACACAGUCAACACUGAGCAGGAAACUGAGCACACGCUACAAAAAUAACCAUUCGUGGUCAGUAUCUGUGUCUUGUUUUUCAGUAAAAAAUAUCUAAAGAUAAAUUUGCCUAAAAUGUAUGAAAAUGUAAUUACCAUUACCCCAGUGUCACAUGAUCCUUUAGAAAUCAUUCUAAUAUGCUGAUUCAAUGCUCAAGAAA
rnacentral:lncRNA from 12 species